GGGUGCAGGUGAGGAGGGUGACGUGGACUGGGGGAGCACAUUGAGGCCACCCAAAGCGCAGGAGCUUGAUGCUCUAGGGAUUGCCUUGCUCUCCCAGCCUGGCAGCACCGGUGCCCAUGAAGCCCUGAGUUCUAGAAUUAGAACAUGGCCCUCACCCCAAGGCCUCAAGUAGACAAGGGGCCCCCAGAAAGCAGAGAAGCAGCAACUGUAGAAGUGGCCGGGCGCCGUCAGUGGAGGGUAUUCUGUGGACAGAAACCGGGCGGCUGUUAGGAGCACCCCCCAGCCUCUCGGGACCCGACCUCGCAGUUGGUGCUGGUUGGUCCUUGAGGGCUCAGAUGGCGCGUGAGAGUCUGCACUUUUAGCUUCCAGGCAAUAGAGAUGCUGCUGGUCUGCAGGCCACACUUGGAGAAGCAAGACCUCAAUACAUUUUGACUUCAAACCUUCAUAGCAAUCCUUGAACUGACAGAAACUGGCUCAAAGAAGGGAAGUGACCUCUCAAGUGAGUGAAGUAGUCAGAACACGCGCUUAGAAGACCCUGCAGAUCUCCAUCCAAGCAACUCACUAGCCAAUAAAAAAAGAUUAAUUCAUCUGAUUCAUCAGAGAAAAGGAAAAAUACCAAGUAGACAAAUACUAGAGUCACCCUGCAAUUUAUAAUCAGGACUGUCAGGUGCCCACGGCAAAGUCAUUGGAAUUCCUUCUUCAGAAGAACAGGGAUAAUGAUAGCGACCAUCUUCUACCGAAGUUGUCAAAUAAUCCUAGGAGCUCACAGAAGAAAAGUCCUUUGGAGUCAGCAAAGACCCGUAUAACUUAGUAGGCGGAGCAGACGUCCUGGUUGUUACUGUUACUUUUAUUAAUGCACCAAAAUUUGUUUGUUUACUGUGAAAUUGGUUCAGGAUGAUAGAACCCUUGAUAUCAGAUGUCUCAAUCAAGGAUGCUGAAAAUUCUGUUUCUCUCUUAUAAAAUUGAUAUUGCAUGAAAUUGAUUUAUAAUUAAAAUUAAUUUUUAUUGCAUAACCAGUACACAAGUAUACUUCCUCUGUAAGAAAAUAAAAAUAUUAAAGCCCAAA